GGAGCUGUAGCUCAGUGGUAGAGCACUUGCCUAGCAUGCAUGAGGCACUGGUUCCCUAGCACCA
rnacentral:tRNA from 1 species